AGGGUUGGGCACGGCGGG
rnacentral:miRNA from 1 species